GACGAACGCUGGCGGCGUGCCUAAUACAUGCAAGUCGAACGCAGUGGGGACGGGUGAGUAACACGUGGGUAACCUCCCAUCAGAGGGGAUAACACUUGGAAACAGGUGCUAAACCGAUACUGAUGGAUGGACCCGCGGUGCAUUAGCUAGUUGGUGAGGUAACGGCUCACCAAGGCCACGAUGCAUAGCCGACCUGAGAGGGUGAUGGGCCAAACUGGUACUGAGACACGGCUCAGAAUCCUACGGGAGGCAGCAGUAGGGAAUCUUCGGCAAUGGACGAAAGUCUGACCGAGCAACGCCGCGUGAAUGAAGAAGGUCUUCGGAUUGUAAAGUGCUGUUGUCGGGGAAGCGGUAUUUGAAGAGGAAGCCACGGCUAACUACGUGCCAGCAGCCGCGGUAAUAC
rnacentral:rRNA from 1 species